rnacentral:rRNA from 1 species
UACGGAGGGUGCAAGCGUUAUCCGGAUUCACUGGGUUUAAAGGGUGCGUAGGAGGGCAGGUAAGUCAGUGGUGAAAUCUCCAAGCUUAACUUGGAACUGCCGUUGAUACUAUCUGUCUUGAAUAUUGUGGAGGUGAGCGGAAUAUGUCAUGUAGCGGUGAAAUGCUUAGAUAUGACAUAGAACACCAAUUGCGAAGCAGCUCACUACACAAU